rnacentral:rRNA from 1 species
GACGAACGCUGGCGGCGUGCUUAACACAUGCAAGUCGAACGGAAAGGCCCUGCUUUUGUGGGGUGCUCGAGUGGCGAACGGGUGAGUAACACGUGAGUAACCUGCCCUUGACUUUGGGAUAACUUCAGGAAACUGGGGCUAAUACCGGAUAGGAGCUCCUGCUGCAUGGUGGGGGUUGGACAGUUUCGGCGGUUGGGGAUGGACUCGCGGCUUAUCAGCUUGUUGGUGGGGGAGUGGCUUACCAAGGCUUUGACGGGUAGCCGGCAUGAGAGGGUGACCGGCCACAUGGGGACUGCGAUACGGCCCAGACUCCAACGUGAGGCAGCAGUGGGGAAUAUUGCACAAUGGGCGGGAGCGUGAUGCGGCGGCGCCGCGUGUGGGAUGACGGCCUUCGGGUUGUAAACCGCUUUCGCCUGUGACGAAGCGGUAGUGACGGUAAUGGGUAAAGAAGCACCGGCUAACUACGUG